rnacentral:tRNA from 1 species
CGGGGCGUGGGUCUGUAUGGCAACGGUUUUUGGUACCGCCAUCCCCUGGUUCGAAUCCAGGCACCCCAGCCA